rnacentral:lncRNA from 1 species
CAAAAUACUAUUGGCCAGGGAUGACAAAAGACAUUGCCAAUUGGGUUGCACAGUGUCUGACUUGCCAGAAAGAGGGAAAGCAAUCAAAUCUGGAUACCCCCUUGAAAAGCAUAAAGGUCACUCGGAUCUGGGAAUUGGUGGGAAUGGAUUUAAUAGGACCAUUACCAGUAACAAAGGAUGGAUACCAGUAUAUACUUACAGUCAUAGAUUAUCUUUCAAGAUGGGUGGAAGCCUUUCCACUUAGAAGUAAGUCAUCAUUUGAGGUGGUAGAGAACAUGUACAGAAUGAUUCUUUGACGUGGAUGCCCACAGCGGAUACUGACAGAUCGUGG